GGCGAACGGGUGAGUAACGCGUGGGUAACCUGCCCCUGAAUCUGGUAUAACUUCGCGAAAGCGAGGCUAAUACCGGAUAUUGUCCCAGGGACUGUGGUCCUUGUGAUGAAAGAUGACCUCUUCACGAAAGUUGUCGUUCAGGGAGGGGCCCGCGUACCAUUAGCUAGUUGGUAGGGUAAUGGCCUACCAAGGCGAUGAUGGUUAGCUGGUCUGAGAGGAUGACCAGCCACACUGGCGCUGAAACACGGGCCAGACUCCUACGGGAGGCAGCAGUGAGGAAUUUUGCGCAAUAGGGGAAACCCUGACGCAGCAACGCCGCGUGAGUGAAGAAGGCCCUCGGGUCGUAAAGCUCUGUCAAGUGGGAAAAAAGCUUACUGGUGAAUAGCCAGCAAGACUGAUGGUACCAUUGAAGGAAGCACCGGCUAACUCCGUGCCAGCAGCCGCGGUAAUACGGAGGUGGCAAGCGUUGUUCGGAGUUACUGGGCGUAAAGGGCGCGUAGGCGGCUUGGCAAGUCAGAUGUGAAAGCCCCGGGCUUAACCUGGGAGUUGCAUCUGAAACUGCCUUGCUUGAGUCCUGAGGGGGUAGUGGAAUUCCCAGUGUAGCGGUGAAAUGCGUAGAUAUUGGGAGGAACACCUGCGGCGAAGGCGGCUACCUGGACAGUGGCUGACGCUGAGGCGCGAAAGCUAGGGGAGCAAACGGGAUUAGAUACCCCGGUAGUCCUAGCCGUAAACGAUGGGCACUUGGUGUUGGGGGUAUUGAGUCCCCGGUGCCUGUAGUUAACAUAUUAAGUGCCCGCCUGGAGAGUACGGUCGCAAGCAC
rnacentral:rRNA from 1 species